GGCGCGGUGGCGGAGUGGUGACGCAACGGACUGCAAAUCCGUGUACACCGGUUCGAUUCCGGUCCGCGCCU
rnacentral:tRNA from 1 species